CAGCAGCCGCGGUAAUACGAAGGGGGCUAGCGUUGCUCGGAAUGACUGGGCGUAAAGGGCGCGUAGGCGGAUUGUUUAGUUAGGCGUGAAAUUCCUGGGCUUAACCUGGGGACUGCGCUUAAUACAGGCAGCCUAGAGUGAGGAAGAGGGUUGUGGAAUUCCCAGUGUAGAGGUGAAAUUCGUAGAUAUUGGGAAGAACACCGGUGGCGAAGGCGGCAACCUGGUCCUUGACUGACGCUGAGGCGCGAAAGCGUGGGGAGCAAACAGGAUUAGAUACCCGGGUAGUCCCUGUCUCUUAUAC
rnacentral:rRNA from 1 species